rfam:Capsicum annuum cultivar Zunla-1 chromosome 6, whole genome shotgun sequence
UAAUUGUGGUGAGCGCAAUUUAUAAGCAUACCCUUAAAUCUUUACUAAGCUUGGUAAAGAUUUUCCCCUUCUUUAUGGAUGAAAUGUAGAAUCUCACUUCUCAAGCA